rnacentral:misc_RNA from 1 species
GAUGAAGAACGUAGCGAAAUGCGAUACUUGGUGUGAAUUGCAGAAUCCCGUGAACCAUCGAGUCUUUGAACGCAAGUUGCGCCCGAAGCCAUUAGGCCGAGGGCACGCCUGCCUGGGCGUCACACGUCGUUGCCCCCCCAUCUACUCCUUCGGGAUUGCGGGGGGCGGAUGAUGGCCUCCCGUGCGCCUCGCCGCGCGGUUGGCAUAAAUGCCAAGUCCUCGGCGACGCACGCCACGACAAUCGGUGGUUGCGAAACCUCGGUUGCCCGUCGGGUGCAGUCGUCGCGCAUCGAGGGCUCGAAAAAAUUGCCGGGUUCCGGCUCGGCUUUCAACGCGACCCCAGGUCAGGCGGGGUUACCCGCUGAAUUUAAGCAUAUCAAUAAGCGGAGGA